AAUUAAUUAGCUUAUACAAAGUUUGUAUUUUGAAAAUACAAGAAAGAUUAAAAAUUUAUUAAUUU
rnacentral:tRNA from 1 species